rnacentral:lncRNA from 1 species
CCUCAUAUAGAGAGGGUUGCGCAGCUUGGAGAGGACCCCCGUUCCUAGCUUCAUCUUCACAAAAAAAUGCCCCCACCUGAUUUCUCAUCUUCACCCCACACAUACAGUCAUACGUUGGAGAUUCACCUUCAUAGACUUUAGGUAUCGCACGUCCUUCACUCACUGUGGAAGAGAACCAAAAUGAAUUCGAAUUGCAUUUUGGAUCUGAAAACAUAACACUUCAAAGACUGACAACAAGGAUAGAAACAAAUAGGAAUUUUGCGAUUUCAAGAGGAUUUUGUUGAUUCAUAUGGUUUUCGAGUAAAGUUCAGUCCAUCGAUGUCGAUUUGAGUUCAUUGUUGAGUUUUGGUCGCGGUUUCUGCUGAAUAUCGAUUUUUCGCAGUUGUUAUUCAUAUCUAGUGUGUCGCCAAGUCUUAUUCUGCUUGUAAUCAUUUCAAACAAUUUAAUCAAAAGAAUUUUCUGACAUUCUCAUGGUAUAUUGAUUAUCGGGGUUGGAUGAAUACGAGUCGAAGUUUUGUUCGAGGUGUGGUUUAUUGUUCUGAUUCUGAUUUGCGAUUCCAAGCUCAAAUGUCACUGAGAAUUAUGGGCAGGAAUCAUCGAGUUGUUUAACCUUUUUGUGGUUAAAUUUUUUUAUCAAUUUAAGCCAAGAACCAUUCGAGAAGACGAGUCAAUAUCCGGCUAUAAUUAUUGCUUUAUUUCAGUUCGUAUAAAUUGCAGGUUCAUUUUUAUUUUAUUGGUUUCUCCCUUUUAGAUUUAUUGAGUUUAUCUGAAUUUUUGGUAUUAGUUUGUCAUUGCACCUUUGUCGCUGGUUCAUUUUGCAGAUGAGACUCUUACUUCGAGUGCUUGUUUCAAUGUGUAUUUGCAUUGAUCCGUGGCCUAGGAUUGCAAGUGUAUGCUAAUGCCAUCGCGACGAAGAGUCUUUGAAUAGUUUGAGAUGCCCUUUUCGAUGACUGAUUUAAAUUUUUUUUAUCAGAUAGCAUGUCUUAUUAAGAGUUACAUUAUUAGUUUGUUUUGCUGGCUGGUGGGUUUUAGCUAUAUUUUUGUUUGUUGUUGCUUCUUCACAGCCGUAAAUGAUUCUCUGUUGAACCUACUCUAUUGAAUUUUGAUCAUCUUUUCAGCAUUUAUUUGGUUUUCCUAGACUGUUUUGUCAUUGAUUGAGGUACAUUAUCUAGACACCAUAGCGUUAGGAAAAUGGUUUGUUCAUUUGUGUUCGUCUAAUGAUAUAGUUUGGUUGGAUCGAUUAGCAAUGAAUCAUGCCUUUGUAGCUACUGUUCAACAAAAUUUUGGAAUCCGUUACUAGCUUUGGGAGACUUUACUCAUUUU